AACGAACGCUGGCGGCAGGCCUAACACAUGCAAGUCGAGCGAACCCUUCGGGGUUAGCGGCGGACGGGUUAGUAACGCGUGGGAAUAUACCCUUUGGUACGGAAUAGCCUCGGGAAACUGAGAGUAAUACCGUAUGUGCCCUUCGGGGGAAAGAUUUAUCGCCAAAGGAUUAGCCCGCGUUGGAUUAGAUAGUUGGUGGGGUAAUGGCCUACCAAGUCUACGAUCCAUAGCUGGUUUGAGAGGAUGAUCAGCAACACUGGGACUGAGACACGGCCCAGACUCCUACGGGAGGCAGCAGUGGGGAAUCUUAGACAAUGGGCGCAAGCCUGAUCUAGCCAUGCCGCGUGGACGAUGAAGGCCUUAGGGUUGUAAAGUCCUUUCAGAUGGGAAGAUAAUGACGGUACCAUCAGAAGAAGCCCCGG
rnacentral:rRNA from 1 species